UCUGAAAUAAGGGCUGAAGAUCUUGUCCGUGAAAAAAGCCUGCAGGAACAAGCAAAGAGAAAAACAAACCACUUUUCUGUAUCAUCGAGGUAAAAAUCAUAGGAAAGGUCGCCACAAGCCAAAUCAGUACUUGCAUUGAAAGGAAAGCUCUUUGUGGAAUCAAUGGGAGAUUUCCUCUUCUUUAGAGUAGGCAGGUAAGGUAGGAAUCUAAUUCUGACAGGACUGCCGGAUCAGGAGAGAACUCUGAUCAGUUCAUACCUGCCUUUAAAUCAGCCAAAGAACGGACCAACAAACUGAUACUUAUCCUAUUUUGGUAUGAUUCUACCUUCAGGCAUUACAAGCAAUGAAAUCACAUUGGAAUAGUCUCCCUGGGACAUGGUAACACAGAGCCAACCUUUAGGUAGCAUCGUGAGAUGGAUCCCAGGAACAUGAACGUCUGAUUCUAAUUCUGCAAACCAAGAGACAAAACCCCACAAGGAAUUGGGAUUGAAUUUAGCUCAGGAACUUUAAUAAAGUAUAGAGCAAGCCAGGAAAAAGACUUUUGGCUGACUGCAGUUUUGCACGGUUCCUGUUCUGACAUCUAUUGUAUUUUACUGUAGCAUCAGAUACAAACAACCUCAAAAGGUUUUGCAAGCAUAAAGGAGUUAGUCUUUAUAAUGCCA